CUCACGCCUGGAAGAGGGCAGAGGGGACGAGUUACUUGAUUUGCCAGCCAACAUGGUCAAGCAAGCAGCUGCAACUGUAGGAGCUACAGCUGGCAUAAAGAACCCAAGACAUAGAAAGAAUGUGGAAGCUUGAGCAUACAGUCAUGCUUGCAGAAGAAAAGAGGAUGCUUAUUGGUUUACCGGCUUCGAAAG